rnacentral:lncRNA from 1 species
CAUAGGUCAUAGUGAGGGAGUCACAUGGCUGUGUGGCCAUGACUGUCAGUCAACAGAAGAGAUACCAGUGGAUUCAGCAGUGACCUCACAGCUUGCUGAUCAUGAAUCAAGAAUUAACCCUGAAGAAAAUGUAUGGGGAGAAUGUGGCCUCAAACUGAUUCAGAGAAGAGUUAAAAAGAGGAAAUGGACAGCAAACACUCUUCCAGAUUGAAGAAAAAGCAUCCAGGGACUUCCUUUUACAAACCAGAUGGCAGCCUCCAGCUGGCUGCCUUAGAGAUAUUGAAAUUGGAAGACCCAAUAUCUGAGCAGACACGCCCACUUAUAGGAUUUGGUCUGGAACUCAUAAAAGAUCAUUUACAACAGAGGAAGAACAAAAUGUUUCUGCCCAGAGAACUAUGCAAGAAAUUAUGAAGCACACAGGUGAAUAAGCAGGUG